GAAGACAUAUGUACAUCUUAACUCCAAGCAAAAUGUAUAUUUUAUUACGGCGAAUAUGUCUUUUUCUAAGCCAAAUGAAUGUGUAAGCUAAAUACCGCUAGGAACCCAUAGUAAUCUGCUUUGACCAGCCAACGAACUAAAAAAACUCAGCAUACUCAAAACAUCAACUCUAGAUCAUAUGGGGAACAUUUUUCCAAUUGAGAUUCUAGAUUCUAGAAGUACUCACCUUUUUAAAUUAAUUGAAAUGGACAAAUAAAAAUACGAUAGUUAACAUCGGAAAAGACUAUUAUAACUGAAACAACUUGAAUUUAAUUCAUAAUAGGCUCUGCACACUGAGCCCCUCCAUGGGGAACUUUGGAAUUUUUUGAAAGAUGUGAAACGACUUGACGAAUGUGUCCAAGGAUUCGAAGAGAUUGGAUUUCCACAGUGUCUAGGUAAGAAAGCAAUAGAAAAAUGCAUUAUACAUCUACAGAUAUGCACAUACAUAUGUAAAUUGGGUUUCCCUUUAUUGUAGAUGGAUGUCAAAUCGAAAAAAAACCAUCAGGAGCUGAGGCAGUCUACCAUCACAAUUAUAAAGGCUGGUACUCCACCACCUCUCGUUUACAUGGUUGACUUGAGACAGGGACAGGUCUAAUAAGCCAUCAAUAAAAUCAUGUGACAUGGGCACAAGGUUAUUAGACUCGUUUACCGAAGACCAAAGAGUACCUGGCAUGUUGAAAUCCCCCAGAACUAUUAAAUCGUCUUUAUCAGAUAGCGAGGAAGAAACAGUUUUAAUGCGGACAAGUACUGCUCGUAUAUGAAGACAUCCAAAGUCGGUGGAAUAUACGACGCAGAGGAAUUCCAGGUUUUGUGAUACCUGGACUAUAAAAGGCUCCGAUGUGAAGUAAGAGUCCACUGCAAUCGGAACCCCUCCUCCACGACGAGACGAAUGGUCAUUAGUAUAAAUUGUAUACCGAUCUGCCAAAACUUCGGAACUAAGAAUUUACAUCCACUUUUGUGCACAAAUAUAAUAUACCCAACUUACAAUUCGAGUACCGAAUAUAAAAAUAAGGAUCACUCCAGAAUUCCUUAAAAUAAACAUUUAUAGAGUAAUUGCUGAAGCAUAAAAAACUGUCCAUGUUAUUUUUGACAUGACGUACAUAUGUACAUUUGCAUCUCAAGUUCUUCAGAAUUGAGCCAUGUCUGUCUGUCCGUCUGUCCGUCCUGAUGAGCGCCUGGUACUCAGAGACCAUAAAAGCUAGAGCCACCAAAUUUU
rnacentral:lncRNA from 1 species